GACGAACGCUGGCGGCGUGCUUAACACAUGCAAGUCGAACGGAAAGGCCCUGCUUUUGUGGGGUGCUCGAGUGGCGAACGGGUGAGUAACACGUGAGUAACCUGCCCUUGACUUUGGGAUAACUUCAGGAAACUGGGGCUAAUACCGGAUAGGAGCUCCUGCUGCAUGGUGGGGGUUGGAAAGUUUCGGCGGUUGGGGAUGGACUCGCGGCUUAUCAGCUUGUUGGUGGGGUAGUGGCUUACCAAGGCUUUGACGGGUAGCCGGCCUGAGAGGGUGACCGGCAACAUUGGGACUGGGGUACGGCCCAGACUCCGAGGGGGGGCAGCGGGGGGGAAUAUUGCAAAAUGGGCGGAAGCCUGAUGCAGCAACGCCGGGGGGGGGAGGACGGCCUUCGGGUUGUAACCCGCUUUCCCCUGGGACGAAGCGGGGUGGACGGUAAUGGGAAAAGAAGCACCGGUAAACUACGU
rnacentral:rRNA from 1 species